GGGUAGGUAGCCAAGUGGUUAAAGGCGACAGACUGUAAAUCUGUUGGCCGUGCGCCUUCGGGGGUUCGAAUCCCUCCCUGCCCA
rnacentral:tRNA from 1 species